ACGAACGCUGGCGGCGUGCUUAACACAUGCAAGUCGAACGGAAAGGCCCCUUCGGGGGUACUCGAGUGGCGAACGGGUGAGUAACACGUGAGUAACCUGCCCUUGACUUCGGGAUAACUUCAGGAAACUGGGGCUAAUACCGGAUAGGAAUCCUUGCUGCAUGGUGGGGGUUGGAAAGCUUCGGCGGUUUUGGAUGGACUCGCGGCUUAUCAGCUUGUUGGUGGGGUAGUGGCUUACCAAGGCUUUGACGGGUAGCCGGCCUGAGAGGGCGACCGGCCACAUUGGGACUGAGAUACGGCCCAGACUCCUACGGGAGGCAGCAGUGGGGAAUAUUGCACAAUGGGCGGAAGCCUGAUGCAGCAACGCCGCGGGCGGGAUGACGGCCUUCGGGUUGUAAACCGCUUUCAGCAGGGGCGAAGCUUGUGGUGACGGUACCUGCAGAAGAAGCACCGGCUAACUACGUG
rnacentral:rRNA from 1 species